AGGCCCUUUGGCGCAAUGGUAGCGCGUGGUCCUCCUAAGACUGAGGUUGUCGGUUCGAGUCCGAUGAGGGUCG
rnacentral:tRNA from 2 species